rnacentral:rRNA from 1 species
CCGAAACCAGGCGAUCUAUCCAUGAGCAGGUUGAAGGUUGGGUAACACUAACUGGAGGACCGAACCCACUGUCGUUGAAAAGCCAGGGGAUGACUUGUGGAUAGGGGUGAAAGGCUAAUCAAGCCUGGUGAUAGCUGGUUCUCCCCGAAAGCUAUUUAGGUAGCGCCUCGGACGAAUACCAUAGGGGGUAGAGCACUGUUUCGGCUAGGGGGUCAUCCCGACUUACCAAACCGAUGCAAACUCCGAAUACCUAUGAGUACUAUCCGGGAGACAGACUGCGGGUGCUAACGUCCGUAGUCAAGAGGAAAACAAUCCAGACCGCCAGCUAAGGCCCCAAAAUCAUAGUUAAGUGGGAAACGAUGUGGGAAGGCAUAGACAGCUAGGAGGUUGGCUUAGAAGCAGCCACCCUUUAAAGAAAGCGUAAUAGCUCACUAGUCGAGUCGGCCUGCGCGGAAGAUGUAACGGGGCUAAAACUAUGUGCCGAAGCUGCGGAUGUAUACUUUGUAUACGUGGUAGGGGAGCGUUCUGUAAGCCGAUGAAGGUGUGUUGAGAAGCAUGCUGGAGGUAUCAGAAGUGCGAAUGCUGACGUGAGUAACGACAAAACGGGUGAAAAACCCGUUCGCCGAAAGACCAAGGGUUCCAGUCCAACGUUAAUCGGGGCUGGGUGAGUCGACCCCUAAGGCGAGGCCGAAAGGCGUAGUCGAUGGGAAAAUGGUUAAUAUUCCAUUACUUCUGUGUAAUGCGAUGAGAGGACGGAGAAGGCUAAAUCAGCCUGGCGUUGGUUGUCCAGGUGAAAGGAUGUAGGCAUGUAUCUUAGGCAAAUCCGGGGUACUCUAUGCUGAGAUCUGAUAGCAAGCUGUACUUGUACAGCGAAGUGGUUGAUGCCAUGCUUCCAGGAAAAGUCUCUAAGCUUCAGUUACACAGGAAUCGUACCCGAAACCGACACAGGUGGUCAGGUCGAGUAGACCAAGGCGCUUGAGAGAACUCUGCUGAAGGAACUAGGCAAAAUGGUACCGUAACUUCGGGAGAAGGUACGCUGUUGUUGGUGAUGGAACUCGCUUCCUGAGCUGACGACAGCCGCAGAAACCAGGCCGCUGCAACUGUUUAUUAAAAACAUAGCACUCUGCAAACACGAAAGUGGACGUAUAGGGUGUGAUGCCUGCCCGGUGCUGGAAGGUUAAUUGAUGGGGUUAGCGUAAGCGAAGCUCUUGAUCGAAGCCCCAGUAAACGGCGGCCGUAACUAUAACGGUCCUAAGGUAGCGAAAUUCCUUGUCGGGUAAGUUCCGACCUGCACGAAUGGCAUAAUGAUGGCGGCGCUGUCUCCAGCAGAGGCUCAGUGAAAUCGAAAUCGCUGUGAAGAUGCAGUGUACCCGCGGCUAGACGGAAAGACCCCGUGAACCUUUACUGCAGCUUGACACUGAACUUUGACCUUACUUGUGUAGGAUAGGUGGGAGGCUUUGAAGCUGGAACGCUAGUUCCAGUGGAGCCGUCCUUGAAAUACCACCCUGGUAAUGUUGAGGUUCUAACUCUGUCCCGUGAUCCGGGACGAGGACCGUGUCUGGUGGGUAGUUUGACUGGGGCGGUCUCCUCCUAAAGAGUAACGGAGGAGUACGAAGGUGCGCUCAGCGUGGUCGGAAAUCACGCGUAGAGUAUAAAGGCAAAAGCGCGCUUAACUGCGAGACCCACAAGUCGAGCAGGUACGAAAGUAGGUCUUAGUGAUCCGGUGGUUCUGUAUGGAAGGGCCAUCGCUCAACGGAUAAAAGGUACUCUGGGGAUAACAGGCUGAUACCGCCCAAGAGUUCAUAUCGACGGCGGUGUUUGGCACCUCGAUGUCGGCUCAUCUCAUCCUGGGGCUGAAGCAGGUCCCAAGGGUAUGGCUGUUCGCCAUUUAAAGAGGUACGCGAGCUGGGUUUAGAACGUCGUGAGACAGUUCGGUCCCUAUCUACCGUGGGCGCUGGAAAUUUGAGAGGAUCUGCUCCUAGUACGAGAGGACCAGAGUGGACGAACCUCUGGUGUACCGGUUGUGACGCCAGUCGCAUCGCCGGGUAGCUAUGUUCGGAAGGGAUAACCGCUGAAAGCAUCUAAGCGGGAAGCCUACCUCAAGAUAAGAUUUCCCUAGGACUUUAUGUCCUCUAAAGAGCCGUUCGAGACUAGGACGUUGAUAGGUUGGAUGUGGAAGCAUAGUGAUAUGUGAAGCUGACCAAUACUAAUUGCUCGUGAGGCUUGACUAU